rnacentral:rRNA from 1 species
AACGAACGCUGGCGGCAGGCUUAACACAUGCAAGUAGAACGCCCCGCAAGGGGAGUGGCAGACGGGUGAGUAACGCGUGGGAACAUAACAUUUCCUGCGGAAUAUCCCUGGGAACCUGGAAUUAAUAACGCAUACGCUAUACGGGGGAAAGAUUUAUCGGGUAAGGAUUGGCCCGCGUUGGAUUAGCUAGUUGGUUGGGUAAAGGCCUACAAAGGCGACGAUCCAUAGCUGGUAUGAGAGGAUGAUCAGCCACAUUGGGACUGAGACACGGCCCAAACUCCUACGAGAGGCAGCAGCGGGGAAUAUUGGACAAUGGGCGCAAGCCUGAUCCAGCCAUGCCGCGUGAGUGAUGAAGGCCUUAGGGUUGUAAAGCUCUUUCACCGAUGAAGAUAAUGACGGUAGUCGGAGAAGAAGCCCCGGCUAACUUCGUGCCAGCCGCCGCCGUAAUAC